rnacentral:rRNA from 1 species
CCUCAAAUCAGGUAGGACUACCCGCUGAACUUAAGCAUAUCAAUAAGCGGAGGAAAAGAAACUAACCAGGAUUCCCUUAGUAACUGCGAGUGAAGAGGGAAAAGCUCAAAUUUAAAAUCUGGCGGUCAGUUUGGCCGUCCGAGUUGUAAAUUAGAGAAGCGUUUAUCCGCGCUGGACCGUGCAAAAGUCUCUUGGAAAGGAGCAUCAUAGAGGGUGACAAUCCCGUCUUUGGCACGGACUACCAGGGCAUUUGUGAUGCGCUCUCAAAGAGUCGAGUUGUUUGGGAAUGCAGCUCUAAAUGGGUGGUAAACUCCAUCUAAAGCUAAAUAUUGGCGAGAGACCGAUAGCGCACAAGUACCGUGAGGGAAAGAUGAAAAGGACUUUGAAAAGAGAGUUAAACAGUACGUGAAAUUGUUAAAAGGGAAACGAUUGAAGUCAGUUGUGUUUAUUGGAUUCAGCCGGUCUUCGGUGUACUUCCUUUAAACGGGUCAACAUCAGUUUUGUUCGGUGGAUAAAGGUAUUAGGAAUGUGGCUUCUUCGGAAGUGUUAUAGCCUAGUAUUGCAUACACUGGAGGAGACUGAGGACUGCAGCUCGCCUUUAUGGCCGGGGUUCGCCCACGUUCGAGCUUAGGAUGUUGACAUAAU